rnacentral:rRNA from 1 species
UACGAAGGGGGCUAGCGUUGCUCGGAAUCACUGGGCGUAAAGGGUGCGUAGGCGGGUCUUUAAGUCAGGGUGAAAUCCUGGAGCUCAACUCCAGAACUGCCUUUGAUACUGAGGAUCUUGAGUUCGGGAGAGGUGAGUGGAACUGCGAGUGUAGAGGUGAAAUUCGUAGAUAUUCGCAAGAACACCAGUGGCGAAGGCGGCUCACUGGCCCGAUACUGACGCUGAGGCACGAAAGCGUGGGGAGCAAACAGGG